rnacentral:rRNA from 1 species
AGUCGAGCGGUAACAGGAAUUAGCUUGCUAAUUUGCUGACGAGCGGCGGACGGGUGAGUAACGCGUAGGAAUCUGCCUGGUAGUGGGGGACAACAUGUGGAAACGCAUGCUAAUACCGCAUACGCCCUACGGGGGAAAGGAGGGGAUCUUCGGACCUUUCGCUAUCAGAUGAGCCUGCGUGAGAUUAGCUAGUUGGUGGGGUAAAGGCUCACCAAGGCGACGAUCUCUAGCUGGUCUGAGAGGAUGAUCAGCCACACUGGGUCUGAGACACGGCCCAGACUCCGACGGGAGGCAGCAGUGGGGAAUAUUGGACAAUGGGCGCAAGCCUGAUCCAGCCAUGCCGCGUGUGUGAAGAAGGCCUUCGGGUUGUAAAGCACUUUCAGAGGUGAGGAAGGGUGUGCCGUUAAUACCUGCAUAAUUUGACGUUAGCCUCAGAAGAAGCACCGGCUAACUCUGUGCCAGCAGCCGCGGUAAUACAGAGGGUGCAAGCGU